UUUCCGUAGGUGAACCUGCGGAAGGAUCAUUAAAGAGUUAGGGUCCUCGUGGCCCGACCUCCAACCCUUUGUGAACCAAACUUGUUGCUUCGGGGGCGACCCUGCCGACGACUUCGUCGCCGGGCGCCCCCGGAGGUCUUCUAAACACUGCAUCUUUGCGUCGGAGUUUAAACAAAUUAAACAAAACUUUCAACAACGGAUCUCUUGGAUCUGGCAUCGAUGAAGAACGCAGC
rnacentral:misc_RNA from 1 species